AUUGAACGCUGGCGGCAUGCCUAACACAUGCAAGUCGAACGGUAACGCGAAGAGCUUGCUCUUUGGCGACGAGUGGCGGACGGGUGAGUAAUACUUAGGAAUCUGCCCAGUAGUGGGGGACAACAUUCGGAAACGGAUGCUAAUACCGCAUACGCCCUACGGGGGAAAGCGGGGGAUCUUCGGACCUCGCGCUAUUGGAUGAGCCUAAGUCGGAUUAGCUUGUUGGUGAGGUAAAGGCUCACCAAGGCGACGAUCCGUAGCUGGUCUGAGAGGACGAUCAGCCACACUGGGACUGAGACACGGCCCAGACUCCUACGGGAGGCAGCAGUGGGGAAUAUUGGACAAUGGGCGCAAGCCUGAUCCAGCAAUGCCGCGUGUGUGAAGAAGGCCUGCGGGUUGUAAAGCACUUUCAGUAGAGAAGAAAAGCCUACGGUUAAUACCCGUGAGUCUUGACGUAACCUACAGAAGAAGCACCGGCUAACUCCGUG
rnacentral:rRNA from 1 species